UACGUAGGCAGCAAGCGUUGUUCGGAGUUACUGGGCGUAAAGGGUGUGUAGGCGGUUGGAUAAGUGUGGUGUGAAAUCUCCCGGCUCAACUGGGAGGGUGCGCUACAAACUGUCUGACUAGAGUGCGGGAUGGGAAAGUGGAAUUCCUGGUGUAGCGGUGAAAUGCGUAGAUAUCAGGAGGAACACCAAUUGCGAAGGCAGCUCGCUGGGACGUUACUGACGCUGAGACGCGAAAGCGUGGGGAGCAAGCAGG
rnacentral:rRNA from 1 species